GAGUGACAUUUGAGAAGCUUCUGACAUUUGACAGAUCAGAUAUCGUGCUUCACUCAUCAGACUAAAUACAGAGAGAGAAGAUAGAGGUGACCUUAGUGGUGGUGAAGUGUGCGCUGGAAUCGAAGGGAGUGGUGGUGGUGGCGACGAGUUGAGAGGAGGCGUACAUAGUCAAGUUUCAGAGACUUGGUCGUCUUCUCUAUGAUUC
rnacentral:lncRNA from 1 species